rnacentral:rRNA from 1 species
UACAGAGGCUGCAAGCGUUAUUCGGAUUCACUGGGCGUAAAGGGUGCGCAGGCGGCCAAGUGUGUGAGGCGUGAAAGCCUGGAGCUUAACUCCAGAAUUGCACCUCAAACUACAUGGCUAGAGCAUUGGAGAGGGUAGCAGAAUUCAUGGUGUAGCAGUGAAAUGCGUAGAUAUCAGGAAGAACACCAAUGGCGAAGGCAGCUCGCUGGGACGGUACUGACGCUGAGACGCGAAAGCGUGGGGAGCAAACAGG